rnacentral:rRNA from 1 species
UACGUAGGGUGCGAGCGUUAAUCGGAAUUACUGGGCGUAAAGCGCACGUAGGCGGGUUCUUAAGUCGGUGGUGAAAUCCUGGAGCUCAACUCCAGAACUGCCUUCGAAACUGGGAAUCUUGAGUCCGGGAGAGGUGAGUGGAACUGCGAGUGUAGAGGUGAAAUUCGUAGAUAUUCGCAAGAACACCAGUGGCGAAGGCGGCUCACUGGCCCGGUACUGACGCUGAGGUGCGAAAGCGUGGGGAGCAAACAGG